UAGUUGGCAAACCAUCUCCUGUCUUAUCUCCUGAGCUUUCCCACCGUGUUUUGACCACCACCCCACAGGACGAGUGAGUGGCUGGCUGUUAGCCAAAGCUGACCCCCCACACCUCCCAGCGCUGAUAUAGAAACAUCCCAAAAGGUGAACAGCUGACUAGAGACUGUGCUUCUUCACAAUCUGGUCAGUCACAAAUGUUCCUUCAGAAAAGGCCUGAGCCAUAAGAGGUUUGCCAGCUGCUGCAUAUACAGCUAUUGUACAACAUAAGCUGAAACAUUCCCAUGGGAGAAAAUAGAACUAUAUUUUUUUCUACGUGAAAAUGAAAGAGAACAAACUUGCCAGAGAGCAGCCUUGUGAUACAGGGUUAAGCUGG